UUUAAAUAAAAUAAACAUGUAUAUGCAGCACAAAAUAUUUAUAUUCCUUGUGUAAACAUAAUUUAAUUGAUUAGGAUUAAAAUGUUUUGUUUGAAUGUAAAAUGAACACAUUAUUCUCACAUUGAUUAACAUUGAUUGAAUUGAAUACUUAAAGCAAUAAAAUUGGGUUUGCACACAAAACGGCACCUCCUGAGCAGCAGGGGCAGUAUAGCUCAAUGAGAAGGACAUCGAUUGCCAUAAAAGAAGAAUAAAGAUCGUUUGUUUUGGGCGCCAAAAUGAAGACUCAGCAGCAGUCAGUCAGUCAGUCAGUCAGUCAGUCAGUCAGUCAGUCAGUCAGUCAGAAGAACUCUCUCAGACGGACACCACGUUAUUAAAGUCCAUCAUCCUUGCAUGCGCUACACAGCAUUGAUAAAUGCUGAAUUUAAAAGAAUCACUACUGUCUAAUGUUCCUGUGUCACCUGGACCUCCAAUCCAAAAACCUGAUGAAACUCUUCUAUCAGAAAGGAGGACAGCUAGCAAAAAGACUUCAAACAAUUAAUGAUCAAAUGACAGAAGGCAUGGAUGAAGUUAGCAUCAGUGAGGUCAUUUGAAGACACCAAUGUUGGGAUUUGUGCUCUCAAACAACAUGCUUCUUGUGAUGAAGAAGAGGAUCUUUGUAUAGUCCUGGAAGCCAUGAAGGUGUUGCAACAUCGUGUUUGAGCUGAUGUAUGCCUUAAACCUGAUCUCCGCUUUAUUUUUGAGGAAAUCCAAACUGCAUUGAGAGUAACUUUAACGAACAGUUUCUUUCAGUGAAAGGAUCAGAAAGACUGUGCUGCUCAUUUUUGACUUUUUUUAUCUGUUUUAAGUGUUUUCUCUUAUUAAUACAUUAACAGUUUGCUGCUCAGAGUUGAUUUUGGAAAUGGUUGUUGUAUUUUGUUUUUGUUGAAUCUUUGAUUAACAGUUUAUAAAUGCCGUAGCUCUGACUUUCUGAAGGAGUGAUAUUUACCAGUUUGUAAAUCCAUUUAAAAAAUAAUAGUACUUAUUGUUUUGCAUGUCUCUUUGGAAUGCAGUGUUUGUGCUUUAGCACUUCUAAAUCUACUGUGAUAGUAACUAUUUUAAACAUUUGGGUCAGUUUCACAGAUGGGGCUUUUCCUAGUCCCAGACUUUUGCAAUGCCUUAAUUUGAAAACAUAUUGCACUGACAUAUAUCAGUGCCAUUGUUUUGUCUAAAGAUGUACUCCAGGGUUGUUUUUGUAAGGUAGGUUUCUUUGUAAACUUUAUUUUUGUAAAAAUAUCCUAAUAUAACUAGGGCCUAGUCAUGGAUUAAUCUACAACCUGUUUGGGAAAUUGCCCCUUUAUGUAUGUACUGCAUGUGCUGAUUGUUGUAAUAGUUAUUGACUGUUAUUGAAUUAAUGUGUAGUGAUUUAAAUGAAUUGAUGAUCUGAAAGCAGUGGUUUGCCUAAAUAUCACUAAACAUUUGUACAAAACUCUUUGCUUUUUAUGCCAAUGCAAAUGUAUUUUGUAUUUAAAAAAGAAAUAAAUAACAUUUGGAUAA